rnacentral:misc_RNA from 1 species
GAUGAAGAACGUAGCGAAAUGCGAUAAGUAAUGUGAAUUGCAGAAUUCAGUGAAUCAUCGAAUCUUUGAACGCACAUUGCGCCCUCUGGUAUUCCGGGGGGCAUGCCUGUUCGAGCGUCAUUACAACACUCAAGCUUUGCUUGGUAUUGGACAUUGCCAGUUUCUGGCAGGUCUUAAAAUCAGUGGCGGUGCCAUUUGGCUUCAAGCGUAGUAAUUCUUCUCGCUUUGGAGAUCCAAGUGGUUACUUGCCAAUAACCCCCAAUUUUUUCAGGUUGCCCUCGGAUCAGGUAGGGAUACCCGCUGAACUUAAGCAUAUCAAUAAGCGGAGGA